rnacentral:miRNA from 1 species
GGUUUCUCUGUGUAGCACUGGCUGUCCUGGAACUUUCUCUGUAGACCAGGCUGGCCUCACACUCAGAGAUCCGCCUGCCUCUGCCUCCCAAGUGCUGGGAUUAAAGGCACGCGCCACCAACGCCUG